CCCUAUGGGGUGCACUCGUAGAUGAAUUAAAUAAAACUUGUCAGGAGAUAUCAAAAAGGACUAAGUGCAUCCCUGGAGACAUAGGGUUGUUUUUGUUCUUAGAUAGGAAGGCGGCAGUUUGCUACUUAACAGAUAGGCUAUUAGAUUGGAAAAGUAUUGGGUAUGUCGAUAUUGAAACAGAGGCAGAGCAUUCAAUAAAAUACAUAGAUUCAAAGAAGUUGAAGACUACAACGUUAAGAGCAUUAAAGAAGAUCAAUCUCGAUGAUGGUCUCAGGAAAUUUAAAGUUACAUAUUGUGAAGAACUCUUUAAGCAAUUUAAGAUUAGAAAGAAAUUAGAUGUUCAGCUAGGUCUAUUGCAGGAAAUAGUUGGUUUUACUGCAGAUGGAGAUGUUGACCCUAGCGAGAUCGAAGAGAAUGAAUUGGCGGGAGAGC
rnacentral:rRNA from 1 species